rnacentral:lncRNA from 1 species
GGGUUUAGAAGAUUUCUCUCCAUUGAAUGCUUCGAAUUCUAUUUCUUCCUUAGUUGUUUUAGUCUUGGGGAUUGAUUUUUUGAACCAAGAUGAUUCCGUGAUCUUGGAGAUGGCGAUUCGGGUUUUCGGGUUCGGGUCUAAAAGCUUGGAUAUUAGCCUCCGAGCUUCAGGUGAGAACCAUGGCGGACACUUGAAAUCUCCUCUGUAAAUCUUCUUAUACAUUGCCACCAAGUUAUCAUCUUGAAACGGUAAAAACCCGGCGAGAAGAACGUAUAAAAUCACCCCACAAGACCAAAUAUCCGCCUUGGCUCCGUCGUACCCUUUUUUUCCAAUGACUUCCGGCGCCACAUACGCCGGCGUUCCGCAAGUCGUGUGCAACAACCCGUCUUGUUUCAAAUGUUCCGUGAAAGCGCUGAGUCCGAAAUCGGUGACCUUCAAGUUGCCUUCUUCAUCUAAGAGAAGAUUCUCCGGCUUCAAAUCACGGUGGUAAACGCCGCGGCUGUGGCAGAAAUCGACGGCGGAAACGAGCUGCUGGAAGUAAACCCUGGCAGCGUCUUCCUUGAGACGACCUUUGGCGAUUUUCGAGAAGAGCUCGCCGCCGCGGACGAGCUCCAUGGCGAAGUAAAUCUUGGACUUGCUCGCCAUCACUUCGUGCAGCUCGACGAUGUUGGGGUGUUUCACCAUUUUCAUGACGGAGAUCUCUCGCUUGAUCUGCUCCAUCAUCCCGACCUGGAUCACUU